rnacentral:lncRNA from 1 species
GUUGAGAGAAUAACGUAAAUGGUAGGAUGUAUUUCUGGGUUGGUUGGGUAAAGGUAGAAAGGGUUAUGUAAUAAGGGAUAAAGUUGAAGUGUGGUUGGUGGAAACAAAGAGGAGAGGAAUGACUUGUGGAUGAACCAUGGAUUUAAUAGGACGUUACGUGAGAGUGAGGAUAGGAUUGUGGACAAUGAUGAUUUGGUAAGGAUGACUCUUUCGACUGUGUGAUGCGGGAAGAUGAUGAUUUGCUAGUGAUGACUCUUUCGGCUGUGUGAUGCGGGAAAGAAAUCCUCUUCGGUCGUGUGAUGCGGGAA